CCAUGUCAGUUUGAGCAGUGCAUCGUGCAUUCCCUGCAGUCACUGAAAGACGUUCUCGAUUGCAAGCCUGGAGAAGCCAGUGUCUUUCAACAAUCUAAAACACAGGAGGAGGUUUGCCAACUAAGCAUCAAUAUCAUGCAGGUUUUUAUAUACUGUCUGGAACAACUGAGCACCAAGCCUGAUGCAGAUAUAGAUACUACACAUCUUUCUAUGGAUGUUUCUUCUCCUGAUUUGUUUGGAAGUAUCCAUGAAGACUUUACGUUGACUACUGAACAGCGACUUUUGAUAGUCCUGAGUAAUUGCUGCUAUCUAGAACGUCACACCUUCCUAAAUAUAGCAGAGCAUUUCGAAAAGUACAACUUCCAGGGAACUGAAAAAAUAACACAGGUUAGCAUGGCCUCACUGAAAGAUCUGGACCAACGACUCUUUGAAAAUUACAUUGAGCUAAAAGCAGAUCCCAUAGUUGGCUCUUUGGAACCUGGAAUUUAUGCGGGCUAUUUUGACUGGAAAGACUGCCUGCCUCCAACAGGUGUUAGAAACUAUUUAAAAGAAGCGCUGGUGAAUAUAAUUGCUGUGCAUGCAGAGGUAUUCACUAUUUCCAAAGAAUUGGUGUCACGUGUCCUAUCUAAGGUGGUAGAAGCAGUCUCUGAAGAACUAAGCCGACUGAUGCAGUGUGUCUCAUCCUUCAGCAAAAAUGGAGCUUUACAGGCGAGACUUGAAUCUGUGCUUUGAGGGAUACCGUGGCCAUUUACCUGACACCUGAAAGCAAGUCUAGUUUUAAACAGGCCUUGGAAGCCCUGCCUCAGCUCGCAAGUGGAGCAGAUAAAAAGUUACUGGAAGAGCUGCUGAACAAGUUCAAGAGUAGUAUGCACUUGCAGCUUACCUGCUUUCAAGCUGCUUCUUCAAUCAUGUUGAAAACAUAAAUGCCUGCAAGAAAAGGGUAGUCCAAAAAGAUAACCUGUAUACCCUGUAUACAACUGUUCACUUUCCUAAGUUCCUAAAGGUAUUUGGUGUAUAAAGUACUAGGGUUCUGAUUUCUUAGUCUCUUUUUUCCCCCAAGUUGGUAACUUAAACAGAUGAUGGUGUAUGUUUAAUUUUAACCAAUAAUUCUAUUUAAAAUGUCCAAACAGUGUUUUUUGUAUGUUUUUGUUAGAUUGAUUCCUUUAGGGCUAUUUAGCAUACCUUUAUAUGUAUAUAGACAUACAUGUAAUUUUUUUCUUUAGCUGAAUGUUUUGGUGGGAGCUGCUGGAGGGGCUUUUCAUGGAGAAUUAAGGUAGCACAUGGUGUGAAUGAAAGGACUUCUCAGUGUCUAAUUUACUAGAAUUUAAUGUGGCAGUUUCCAACACCAAAGACAUUAAUAAGAGAUUUGGAAAAUUGUACUUAGAUAUCUUUGAAGCUUUAUCCUAAAUUAUACAGUUGUACUUGCAAAAUUUAUUUCAUAAAGUGCCCCUAAAUAUCCUAACUCAAGUGGAUUUUUAGAAAAAAUUACCUUGUUUAAUUUUUCAAAAUAUAUUAUUACUGGGACAGAUUAUUUGUGAUACAGAUGUUCAUAAAUUAUCUCUGGAUUUUCCUGUCUGAUUUUAUUUUUCCCAGUGCUAAACAUUGAACACCUUUUGUUCUCGUUCGUUUUUUUUUUUCUUUUUUUGUGGUGCUGGAUGUCAAACCUGGGGUCUGGUGCGUGCCAGGUAAGCACCACUAAGGUACACCUUCAGCCCUCAUUCAUUCUUCAUGCACUUUGCAUCUGUUUGUUGUGCUUCCCAAGGUGCUGUUACCUGUAGUAGACUGUGGAUGCCAGAGGCCAAGUCACUCUCACAGGUGGUCUUUACACCACAAGCUAGGCCCACAGGGUCAGCCAGCAUUUCUGUCUGUGCCAGUCAUUCCCUCCCCUCUAGCAGCUCACUUUCUCUGCCCACUUUUUGCCCUUUGAAGUAUCUUGCUCCAUAGUGGAAGAGUGUUGCUGUGGCACAUCUGUGUUUUAAAGAUUCGAGAUGCCCCAGGGUCACUAGGCAGUGAUGCACUGCUGACUGGCUUGCAGAAAAGGCUCAGGUCACUGUGACCUCUCAAGAUAGCUUCCCCACCUACCUCAAUCCUACCCUUUGCUUCCAGAAACUGAGUAAAUCUCCAGUUGUGCUUUACUUGACAGGGUCUUCAGAACUUUCUAGUGGUAAUACAGAAUCUUCCUUUUCAAAUGUUGAAAUUAAUGUCUUUAUUAACACAAGUAAUUUUAGAGCACAGUAUAGCCAUAUACAGUAUCUAUUAUUUGAGGUAAAUGUUGUGUUUAUUCAUUUGGUGUCUAGGGGGAAAUCAUAAUAACUAGAAGUGAAAGUUUAAUCUUUUACAGAUGUGCUUGAUAAAGCUACUAAGGAGCAUGCAUAAUAUUGUUUCCCCUAAGCAAGUUAACCAAUGUAUCUAACAUGACUCCAAAUGAAAUUACAAAACUACAGUCCUGGAUGUUUGUGGUGUUUUAAAUAUCUGGAGUAACGCAUUCAGCCAAUAAAGAAUCUGUCUUUGCUCUAAGAUAUAAUUUCGUUGUUGUUUUUUCUCUGAGUGUCUUUACUUCAACAUUUUCACUAACUCCAUAACUGUUUAUAAGUCUAGUUUAACACUCAAAAUAAAUCUAUGUCAUUGUUUGAAAGCAUUUAACAGGUGUCUGCUAAUUCUGUUUGUUGGGGGCUUGCCAUGUGCACUAAAUUACCUCAUUUGAGCCUCACAUCUUCAUAGGCUUGGCCUCCUCCUGUGUCCAUUAGCAGAGGAGGCAAUCUGGGCCUAGAAAGAAGUGGGUGACUUCUCUAAAGCUGCAAGACUGGUAAGUGACAGGACCCACAUUUGUGCUUUCCUGAGCUUUCCUGGCUCCUCAUCACUGCCCAUUUUUUCCUCCCAGCCAUCCUUCUGCUGGGGACACAACUGAGGGAAAGCAUGUCAUUGCCAGAGGCUAAUGAACUCUAGCAAUGUAGGAAUACGUGAGUGCUGUUAUGGCUCAGAGAAUGGAGGGUAGUGACAUAAAAACCCCAAACCAAAUGAGGGAGUUCAAGGACGACUCUUCCAACAAGUCAUGGGGACUUCUUGGAAGAAGGGGAUUUCAAGAGCCACUUGAGUUACAGAAGACGAAUUUAGUGGUAAAUAGGAGAUGGAGAGGCAUGACCUCAGUCAGAAGAAAGUUAGAGAUAGACCAGGCUUUGGAGCAAGUUUCACAGAGGCAGCUGAGGAAGAGAAUAGAGAUGCUCCUAGGUACUCUCAUUUUCAGAUAGCAUUUUACUUUUAGCACAUCUAUGUCUAUGUGGGUCAGCAUCACCUCAUGUGAGUUAGCUACUUUGGCUAAAGGACUACUAGAAAUAAUUUGGUUUUACUAAGACUUUCUAUAUCAGUGUACUAUGAAAGUGGCAUGUUCUAGAAAUGAUUUGGGCUUUGCAAAACAAGCAUCAUUGCUGUAGGCCCUGCUCACUGACUCAUCCCCCUCUGUCUGUCAGCCUUGCAUGCAGCUCUUAGAGAAUGGAUAGAAAAGGUUACAUUUUAAUUCUAGUUUUAGUACAAGUUAUUGGUAUUUGUUUCUGUUUUGAACACGUGUUGUGAGAUAUUCUGCUGUUAGGUGUAUAAAAGUACUGUAAUGUGUUUUCCAAAAAGUUAUAAAUUUCAACUAGCUUUUAAAUUCAAGAUUAGGUUUCUAAAACAAUCAGCAUAAUUUUAUUAACAUAACUAGAUGUCAAAUAUAUUUAUAUACUUAAAAUAA